rnacentral:rRNA from 1 species
CUGGGAGUAACUUCGGGAAACCCGGGAAGCUAAUACCGGAUAAUAUCUCGAACCGCAUGGUUCGAUAGUGAAAGGUGGUUUUGCUAUCACUUAUAGAUGGACCCGCGCCGUAUUAGCUAGUUGGUAAGGUAACGGCUUACCAAGGCGACGAUACGUAGCCGACCUGAGAGGGUGAUCGGCCACACUGGAACUUAGACACGGUCCAGACUCCUACGGGAGGCAGCAGGG